rfam:Acyrthosiphon pisum strain LSR1 Contig24506, whole genome shotgun sequence.
AAAAUGGUCCUUUUCAGGACCUCCAAAUUUUUUAUACACGAGACCAU